UACGUAGGGUCCGAGCGUUGUCCGGAAUUAUUGGGCGUAAAGGGCGCGUAGGCGGCUGAACAAGUCAAAGGUGAAAUCCCUCGGCUCAACUGAGGAACUGCCUUUGAAACUGUUCGGCUUGAGGCCGGGAGGGGGUAGCGGAAUUCCCAGUGUAGCGGUGAAAUGCGUAGAUAUUGGGAGGAACACCAGUGGCGAAGGCGGCUACCUGGACCGGUUCUGACACUGAGGAGCGAAAGCCAGGGGAGCAAACGGG
rnacentral:rRNA from 1 species